GGCUCGGUAGCUUAGUUGGUAAAGCGCUUGUCUAGCAUUCAACAGUCCUGGAUUCAAAUCCCAGCCGAGCAC
rnacentral:tRNA from 1 species